rnacentral:rRNA from 1 species
AACGAACGCUGGCGGCAGGCUUAACACAUGCAAGUCGAACGCACCUUCCGGGGUGAGUGGCUGACGGGUGAGUAACGCGUGGGAAUCUACCCUUCUCUACGGGCUAUGUCUGGGGAAUUGGAAUUAGUACCGUAUACGUCUAGCGGGUGAAAGCUUUUUCGGGGUAGGGUGAGCCCGCGUUGGAUUAGCGAGUUGGUGGGGUAAAGGCCUACCAAGGCGACGAUCCAUAGCUGGUCUUAGAGGAGGAUCAGCCACAUUGGGACUGAGACACGACCCAAACUCCAACGGGAGGCAGCAGUGGGGAAUAUUGGACAAUGGGCGCAAGCCUGAUCCAGCCAUGCCGCGUGAGUGAUGAAGGCCCUAGGGUUGUAAAGCUCUUUCAGUGGGGACGAUAAUGACGGUACCCACAGAAGAAGCCCCGGCUAACUUCGUG